ACGGGUGAGUAACGCGUAUGCAACCUACCUAUCGAGGAGGGGAAGUAACCCGGCGAAAGUCGGACUAAUACCGCAUAAAACAGGGGCACCGCAUGGUGAUAUUUGUUAAAGAAAUUCGCUGAUAGAUGGGCAUGCGUUCCAUUAGGUAGUUGGUGAGGUAACGGCUCACCAAGCCGACGAUGGAUAGGGGAACUGAGAGGUUGGUCCCCCACACUGGUACUGAGACACGGACCAGACUCCUACGGGAGGCAGCAGUGAGGAAUAUUGGUCAAUGGGCGGGAGCCUGAACCAGCCAAGUCGCGUGAAAAGGAAGAAGGAUCUAUGGUUCGUAAACUUCUUUUGCAGGGGAAUAAAGUGCAGGACGUGUCCUGUUUUGUAUGUACCCUGAGAAUAAGGAUCGGCUAACUCCGUGCCAGCAGCGGC
rnacentral:rRNA from 1 species